AGGAAGUAAUCGACAACUGUCCUUUGUUUCUUUUUUAAAAUGUGUUUUAUAAAAAUAAUUUGACAGAUAUGACUUAUUAGAGCAUAUGAAAAUAAUAAGUACAUAUGUGCGCAUUUGACAGACGCUUUCAACCAAAGCGACUUAUGUAUUAUAUUGUUUCCUGUGUGUGUGUGUGAAGGGAUUGGAAAGGAAGACGUGAUCAAUAUAUUUUAUUAACGCUCAAGCGAGGACAGCUUGUUACAGAAUCCUCCAAAUCUUCAACAACGAGACUUUGAUCUUUCAUGUCAUCAGAAUGGGCUCAACCAGAGACACUCUUCUGAUCAACUCUCCACAAACUCAGCUCCUGUGGACACAAAACCAGUGCUUGAUGAAUAUUCUCUGGAAACUAGGAACAGCGUGCACUGUUACACACCAUAAAAACAAACUUUUUAUAUUUUCAGUGAAUGUCAUAAAUAUCGCUCCUUACCAAUCACAA